rnacentral:rRNA from 1 species
UACGUAGGGGGCAAGCGUUGCCCGGAUUCAUGGGCCGUAAAGGUGGCGUAGGCGGGUCUUUAAGUCAGGGGUGAAAUCCUGGAGCUCAACUCCGGAACUGCCUUUGAUACUGAGGAUCUUGAGUUCGGGAGAGGUGAGUGGAACUGCGAGUGUAGAGGUGAAAUUCGUAGAUAUUCGCAAGAACACCAGUGGCGAAGGCGGCUCACUGGCCCGAUACUGACGCUGAGGCACGAAAGCGUGGGGAGCAAACAGG